rnacentral:rRNA from 1 species
UACGUAGGGUGCAAGCGUUAAUCGGAAUUACUGGGCGUAAAGCGUGCGCAGGCGGUUUUGUAAGUCUGUCGUGAAAUCCCCGGGCUCAACCUGGGAAUUGCGAUGGAGACUGCAAGGCUAGAAUCUGGCAGAGGGGGGUAGAAUUCCACGUGUAGCAGUGAAAAUGCAUUGAGAUCGGAAAGAACACCAACGGCGAAAGCACUCUGCUGGGCCGACACUGACACUGAGAGACGAAAGCUAGGGGAGCAAAUGGG